GCCGGCAGCUAGCUCUCUGCAACUCUCACAUGGUCACCCACUGAAGCUAAGCAGGGCUGCGCCCGGUCAGUACCUGGAUGGGAGACCACAUGGGAAAGCUAGGUUGCUGCCGGAA
rfam:Danio rerio chromosome 18, GRCz11 reference primary assembly.